rnacentral:rRNA from 1 species
CAGUCGCCGCGGGAACACAGAGGGUGCAAGCGUUAAUCGGAAUUACUGGGCGUAAAGCGCGCGUAGGUGGUUUGUUAAGUUGGAUGUGAAAUCCCCGGGCUCAACCUGGGAACUGCAUCCAAAACUGGCAAGCUAGAGUAUGGUAGAGGGUGGUGGAAUUUCCUGUGUAGCGGUGAAAUGCGUAGAUAUAGGAAGGAACACCAGUGGCGAAGGCGACCACCUGGACUGAUACUGACACUGAGGUGCGAAAGCGUGGGGAGCAAACAGGAUUAGAUACCCGAGUAGUCCCUGUCUCUUAUAA